rnacentral:lncRNA from 1 species
CCUCCCAUAGUAACCAUCAUACUGGAUGUACGAGGCUAGCCCCCCGCUAUAACCACUGUGGCACGGCCCAGCUGCAUGCCCCUGGUAACAAUCCAUACAACACGCUUGGACAUGCGAUGAGGGUCCAGGAUUUAGCAGGCCAACUUUAGGUUUACCGUCAUCUUUAGGCGUACUGUCAUCUUUAGGCUUACCGUCACCUUUAGGCUUGCCGUCAUCUUUAGGCUUACCUUCAUCUUUAGGCUUACUGUCAGCUUUAGGCUUGCCUUCAUCUUUAGGCUUACCGUCAGCUUUAGGCUUGCCAUCAUCUUUGGGUGCUUUGGGCUUGCCGUCAUCUUUGGGUGCCUUGGGCUUCUCGGGCUCUUUGAUCUCAAUGCUUUUGAUGGCACUCCCACCUUUGCAGCAAAUCUUGUCCCUCAUCUUUUCUGGACUGCAGCAUACCACUUUGAUAACCACUUGGUUUUGCUUCUCGUCGUAUAUCUGGUCUCGUAUUUCUCUUGUUCACAAACACACAUUAAUUUACUCAGUUUACAUUUAAUCUAAAUUAAUCUUAUUUUCCCAAAAAGAAAGAACUUUAACUUUGGUAUUUCAUCAAAUAACCAUAUAGAUGAAUCAAGGAGAAAAGAGACUCACGUGGGAAUUUACAAAGAACUUUUUUAACCUUCUUGUAGCAUUUGUGACACUGAAGAUCUACCUUCAGCACCAUAAUCGUAACCUGAAUUAUCCAUUUUUAAUAUUAAUAGAAAAAAUAUGUGCAUUAACCAAAGAUUGACAAGAAUGAAUCUUCAGAAAAUAUAUAAAUAUACAGAAGAUUGUUGUGCAAAAGUGUAGACAAAAAGAAGUGGAACAGUGCUGCUGGACAAUCAGGGUUCUAACUGACUGACAGGGAAGAAUCAUGGUGAAAGUAUGUGGCCAAAUCUGUAACACAGAGAGAGAGAGAGAGAGAGAGAGAGAGAGAGAGAGAGAGAGAGAGAGGCAAAAAGCAACAAAAUAGCACAGAGGAAGGGACUUGGAGACUUAUUAGGAUAUAAAAAAAAAAGAACAGGAACCACAAAACUUAAACAAGAGCUUAAAGCCUUUUAGUUUUAGCCAUACAAUCAUCAUUUGGGUUAUCUACUUAUCCUUGGAAGAAGAAAAUGAAGAGAACACAAACUAUACCAAAUAUUACGUACCUUUUCCUUUUCCCCCAUUGCAGUGAGUAGUGGAUGCUCUCAGGCUCAGAUCUGGACGAGAACUUCUCAACUAAAAUGAUUGAAUGGGACAAAAACUUUAACGAAAUCAACUUUUAUAAUUAUAUAUGCAUAUUUAUACAAAAAUAUAUAAAAAUAGGAAUACAAUUCGGUGGAACAAAACAGAGAGAGAGAGAGAGAGAGAGAGAGAGAGAGAAGGAGAGAGCAAUAUUUGAUUAAAGUGGCUUAUUAAAAAAAAAUAUGACAAAUUGCUUGUUAAGAAAGAGUGAAAAAGAAAGAGGGAGAGAGCGCACAAUAGUUCGUACAUAGGGCGAAUGGGCUGCGAACACGUUGAUAUCGGUAGGUUGAUCCCACGCUAUGGUGGACAAAAGUUUCAUUGUAACUGUAAUACGGAUAAUACAACAUGUGUCAGUGAUGGAAAAUUUUAAUUUUUAAGUUAUUAAUUUUUUAACACAAGUAGCUCAUUAUUUUUAUAAUAACAUGUGAUGUAACAUUCUAUAUUUUGGACACACUAAAAGUUAUGUCAUUAUAAUAAUUGAGAGUUGUCGUUAUAGAGGCAGAUUGUCUACCCUCCUGUUUGGGUGCCCAUCUCAUCCUCACAUAUUUUGUGCGGUCAUGGUUAAACCACGUUUACAUUUUAUAUGCUCAUUAUUUUUUGUCUUAUUAUCUUUAUAAAAAAAAUUAAUAUAAAAUAUUGACGUGCCUUAACUGUAACCGUACAGAUAGAAGAUGAUGAAAAAAACACCUAAACAGGAGGCAGACAAUACGCCUCCUCGUUAUACGAAGAUAGGUGACUUCCUGAUGAUCGCUAAAAGUUGAAAUUUCUUGCACAUGCAUGUGCUGGCUUUGAUUCACCCACCUCACCUUCCAUACUUUCCAACUUCCUGCUAAUAUUAUUAUAAGUAAAUGAUUAAUUAUCAAAAUAAAAUUACAUCCUAAGUUAAUUAUAAUUAUUAAAGUUCACAUAGAGUUUGGUGGAGAGGAGAGAUGCCAAUAUUAUUUCAAGAUCGUCAAAUUAAUGGAGAAAAAACUAUAUUGUAGGGUCGAUAGUUUGGUCAAGUGCAAUUAUGGAUCAUGCACCCCCACAUGGCACAUGGAAAUUCCUCCAGUUGUCCCUACAUCUUAAGUAACAACAGGUGCCACCCAUCUUUGACUAGCUACUUGAAGUUUGGUUUGUUAAUCCAAACCGGUGAAGAAACGUCUGGUAAUUAGGUUGGAGUAGGAUUCUUUAUCCUUUUAUUUCCAUUCUUUUUUCUUCCCUUCUCUUACAUGUUACUUUUUGUCUUAUUGUUUUUAUAAAAAAAAUCAAUAUAAAAUGUUGACGUAACUAAACCAUAAUCAUUCAAAUAAAAGAAGAGGGAAAAAAAGAGAGAUUAAGAGGAAAGCGAAUCCUCUUCCAAUUAGGAUAACGAUUUUCAUUCAAUUGAUAUGGCAUCAUUUUAGAACCACACGUACAUACAUGCUGCAUCAUAAACCCUAUUACCUGCAAUGUACCGGACAGAGAAUGGAUGAUCAAAAUCCAAAAAGCGUGGGCUCCAGAUGACAAGAGCGUGGCUGAGGUUCAAAUGUCCCAAUUUCAUAGAGGUGGGUUGCUCACACAAUAGUGGUUGAUCAAUCCGAUUUGAUCUUUUCUUCUUGUACGUAAGUGCAUCACAGCUCAUUCAUUUGUACGUAAGACUUGAUAUGUUUCGUUUUGAUACAACCGACAAGAAAAUGAGGAUGAGAUUAGUGGACAUUAGGUGCAACGAUAUUUAAAUUAAUUAGUCGUUCACUUAAUUAUCUUUGUUUCAAGACUAGAAGUAGUACACUACACACCCUAACAAUGGUCAAAAGUGGGGAGUAUGAUUCUCUACCCUUCCAUGUCCUUCUAUUUGAACGGUCACGGUUAAGUCAUGUCCUCCUAUUUGAAUGGUUAAAUAUGAUUUAAUAAUAAUAGUUUUGUUGUCCUUUGGCUCUCUUGAUUUGAUUCUAUACAUUAAAAAUUGAUUUCACUUUCCUGCCUGCUUCCUGCUUCUGCAUACAUACAAUAUGGCUAAGCUUUGCAUUUUGGACAUAUCGAAUGUUUUUUAACUCAACUUUUGUCUUUGAAUUACGUUGUUUUGUGGAUGCACGGGAUCGGUGGUUAGAUAUCUCGUCUUGAACGCUGUCGUGCAAAUAGUACAUACGUAAUACAAAGAUUAGGCAGAGGUAACUUUGCGUAAUUUCUGGUGCCGCUCUAUGCUGUGCGCAGGUGUGCGCAUCGCCUGCGCAUAACGUCUUGGAGAUGAAAUCCCAGCCUUCGACCUCUAAGGCCUUAAAACCAACGGAUGUGAUGAGUGUUAAAUCCCUUGUACGCAACCCCAUGCGCAGGGGAGAAAUUCUGCCGACACUGUUUUCUCACCCUGAACGAAUGGACUUAUAGCAGCUUCAAUAUACCCACCACAGGCCUAAGUUUGUAGAUAAAAAUCACAACGAUGAAUUUGGGCCGAUUCUGAAAUAUCGAAGCCCAAACCUAGAAGAGAUUUUAAAAUGGAUUUUAGAUUUUUCGUCACCAGACUCGACCCAGCAAAGUUGGCAACUAAUACAGUACACACCCACCCACCCACGCCCACCUAGGGAAUCCCUUGAUCUUAACGCACAAAACCCUUUGGGAAAUUGACAUUUUGAGAAAAACUUUUUUAUAAGCUUCCUGGCUCAGAAAAUGAUAAAACCAUGCAACCAAUAACCAUAUUUUCUUGUCUUAGUGCACUGUACAAGGGAUUAAUCGGCGGUGUCUAUACAUAACACAUGAAAGUUAACAUUAUUCCUGCUCAUCUAUCUCAUUUGUAGAAGAGAUGUAAACGUUUAUAUUUAACUUUUAAUAGAUUUCUCUUCCCAUCUAGUAGAGAAACAUAAAGAGUGAGGUUUUUACAUUUUGAUCCCGUUAAAAUCUGAAUGGUAUUUUUCUGUCCCAUAUAUUGGUCCCAUUGAGUAGAGAAAUGUCUACAUGAUUCUAUCACAAGCAAAUAACAUGUCUUGUAUCUCGAGAAUUAUAAUAGCGGAAAUAAGCCUAAAAAGUAAGCAUCUAAGGUCACUUUAGUCUAUGAUGGUCAGGGGCGGCCCUGAGGGUAGCCUGGUAAGGCAACUGCCUAAGGCCCUCAACUUCUGGGGGCCCCCAUUUUUUUUUUAUAUGUAUAUAUAGUGUAUAAAUACUUUUAAAGUAAGAAGGAUAACACAAAAAACUUGGUGGCGUAGUGGAAAAGAAGGCAUUUAUUUGGUUACCAUCUCUUGUUUGAAACAUGAUGAAGACUCCCCAAACAAGUAUUGUUUUUCCAAAUAUAAUUAGAAAGCCUAAUCUAAUAACAAUUUGGAUUAUGUAAACUCAAUUGGUACAGUUGCAUCUAAAAAUGCGACACAUGUAUUAUCUAAUGUUUAUAUAUCUUUCUUGUUAUAGUAUUAAUUUUUAAUGGUAUUUGAUGUAGAAAUACAUUUUUUUAAUGUAUUAACAAAUUAUUUUUUCUACAUAUCAAUGUACAAAGAGUUGGGGAUUCAAUGAUUCUAGAAUCCCACUUUUAAAGCUCGCCUAGAGCCUUCAAAUUCACAAGGUCGGCCCUGGUGACGGUUUUUGUACCUCCUGUCAUUCUCAUGUUGGAGUGACUCCCAAAUGGUUUUGAUCAUAAGGAAUUUUCAAAACUUUCGUAGCAUACAAAAGGAAACUGGACUUUUUCACUUCUUCGAUUUCUUAAACCUCAUUCAGCUAUGAUCUAACCGAUGAUGUUAUUCAAAUCACAUCACACAUAUAGGCGCAUUACUACUGAGUACGAGGAUGGAUUUCUAAGAACUUCACUAACUUUGUAAGACUAAUGAAAGAAGAUUUCAUAGUUGAAUUCUAAUGGUACAAAACGGUUCUCUACGCCCAAAGAGAAUUCCAAAAACAUAUAAAUAGAGAACUGAGAAGCAGCAAAUACCAGUUUCACAUUGCAGUUUUAGUGUGAUGAGUUUUCCAGUAAACUAAACAGCCCAACAUCUAAGCAGUAACUAACUCAGAUGAACUUCUAGACUCUAACCAUAACUUGACUGCAACUUCUAUUGUAAAAAACCAGCUAGCCUUGUCUAAGGCCUCAUGGAAUAGAGCAUUCAAUUCCUUCAAAUGCGACUCAAAUGCACUCACCACACCUUUGUCUGGAACUUAUGUUUCCCAUGUCCAUUAUUAAUUCCAAACAACGGCGAAAGCUCCUCACCGGAUUCCAAUACCCAAGAUAGGUCAUUGAUCCAAACAAGUAAUGCAGUCAGAGCUGCCCCAAGAGAGAGGCCCUUAAGAUACAAAAAUCACUGGGUCUGAGACCUUGACUGUAAGCCUAUGUAUAUCUGAAGUGUGAUCCCCAAGUCUAGUAGCUCACAGGCUCUCUCCAAGAGAUUGAGGUUCACACAAAGAUCAAUCAGGCAAUUGUAGUAAGCCUUCUUUACAUCUGAACCAAUCGAGUUAAAAAGUUGUGAUGCUUCGUUCUUUAAGUUUUCACUACUUUCUUGCUUUUCCACCAAAAGUUACCACAUCCCCUAGUUUUUCAUCAGCAAUCUCAAUGCAAUUCACAAGCUUGCAAUGUUCGUCCUUUGGUGUUUGAGUCAUCACAUUCAGGAGCUUGCAAAGUUCUUGCAAAGUUCUUCCUUUGGUGUUUGGGUCAUCACAUUCAAGAGAUAACCACAGAAACGCUCAUCGGGUGUUAUUCCCAAUUCUAGGAGUUGAUUGAAUAUUUUGACAACGUCAUCAAUGCGUUUUGCCUUACCGUAGCAUUGGAUGAGUGAUGUCAAAAUAAAGAUAUUCGGCUCGAAACCAGCUUCCAACAUCUCAUUCAAUGUUGCUUCUGCCUCUAUGACUUUCCCGCUACAAGAAUAUAUGGUAAUCAUGAACGAAAAGGUCCAACUGUCAGGCUUCAAUGUUUCAGAACUCUUCAUUUCUUCAAAAAUCUCAACGGCUUCGUCGGUGUAACCAACAUCAGCACACAUAGGUAAAUGGGUGUUAUGGAGAAUUACAUUUAACUCCAGUCCCUUUUCCUAAAGAGCAUCAUCACAGUAACGAGCUCUACCAUAGGCCCUUAAAAGAGUUGCAUAGGUUACCCAAUUUGGUGAAAGCUCAUUGCUGAUCAUCUCUCGGUAAAUUUUCUUGGCCUGCCAAGGCCUCCUAGCUCUUCCCAUAGCAUCCAACAAAGUGUUAUAAAUAACCAAGUUUGGCUUAGCCCCUAUAGCUUUCAUUUCU